rnacentral:rRNA from 1 species
UACGGAGGAUGCAAGCGUUAUCCGGAAUGAUUGGGCGUAAGCGUCCGCAGGUGGCUAUGUAAGUCUGCUGUUAAAGAGUGAGGCUCAACCUCAUAAAAGCAGUGGAAACUACAUGGCUAGAGUGCGUUCGGGGCAGAGGGAAUUCCUGGUGUAGCGGUGAAAUGCGCAGAUAUCAGGAAGAACACCCGGUGGCGAAAGCGGCUC